CCUACGGGUGGCUGCAGUGAGGAAUAUUGGUCAAUGGACGAGAGUCUGAACCAGCCAAGUAGCGUGAAGGAUGACUGCCCUAUGGGUUGUAAACUUCUUUUAUAUGGGAAUAAACUGUUCCACGUGUGGGCUUUUGUAUGUACCAUAUGAAUAAGGAUCGGCUAACUCCGUGCCAGCAGCCGCGGUAAUACGGAGGAUCCGAGCGUUAUCCGGAUUGAUUGGGUUUAAAGGGAGCGUAGGUGGAUUGUUAAGUCAGUUGUGAAAGUUUGCGGCUCAACCGUAAAAUUGCAGUUGAAACUGGCAGGCUUGAGUGGGCGAGAGGUAGGCGGAAUGCGUGGUGUAGCGGUGAAAUGCAUAGAUAUCACGCAGAACUCCGAUUGCGAAGGCAGCAUACCGGAGAACGACUGACGCUGAGGCACGAAAGCGUGGGUAUCGAACAGGAUUAGAUACCCCUGUAGUC
rnacentral:rRNA from 1 species